CGUCAGGGCAUGCGCGCGCGCAGGCGCGCGAAUCGGCGGAUGUAUACGCUGCGCCGGUCGGGGAAGUAGUCCGCCCGCUAGCGGAGUGGGGGCGCUGGCAUUCGCGUUCGCAGCGCUGUGGUGUUCGGAGCGGCCUGGUCUGGAGAGAAGAGAAUAGAAGAGUGAACGAACCGUUGGGUCGAAGUGUUUGUAGCUGCGGCGCGUGACUGAAACUCGGCGUGCGGAAGCCUUUCGACUUCAGUCCACGUCCUGAAACGUCGACAACCUUUUAAAACGGGGCUUUUACGCGCGUGAAGUUCACUUCGCGGUCGUGUUCGUGCCAUGUUUUCGAGCCGCUCGUAGCAACUUUCUCUUCUGCGGACAUUGUUUAAGACUUCAGUUUCGUUCGACGCUCCGCGCGUUUUGUGUUCUAGUCGUCUGUUGUGUUUUACGGCACUAACGUCUCUUGUGAAGAUGGGGAAGUGCAGCAGAGGCAUGAGUGUUGCUGUUGUGUGGCUGCUGGCUGUAAUAACAGGUAAGAUGCUGUCAAUUCCCAUUCCGAGCUACUAGUUGGUGUUGGUGUUUUUUGUAAGGUAAGUGUCUGCUAAUUUUAUUAAGUUAAACUAUGCACGCGUGCAAAGAAAAAGCUGGCACUAUAAUAAUCUCUUAUUAUAGAACUGUAACAGAAGUGUGUCUGUUCGAGAACGUGAACACACAACUGGACCAAUUUUUAUAAAACUUUUUUGUUAAAAAUAUAUGAUUGUACUGAAGGCGCAUCUCCAACAAUUGAACAACAUUUUUACAACCAAGUGUAACCCCUAUAAGGCGCGUCCCCUUUUCAAAUACAUUCAUAUUAAGGAGGGGGAAUUAAUAUUAAGGGGGGCGGAAACUCAUAUUAAUAUUUAUAUUAAAGGGGGUAUUUAUAUUUAAAAAAAGGGGGGGGGGGGUCAGUUUUGAGUGGCCAUUGCACAUGAUGCCACGCGGGCAGUGUGUAAUAUACCAUAAGGAUUUGAAGAUAAAAAGUAUAAGAUUUAAAUUUGGGGGAACAAUUUAGGAUUUUGUUUUUGGUUUGUUCGUUUUUGUUUACACAAAUUUACAUUUUUGCUCAGAUAUCGAUGAAAUUUUGCAUACUUGACCUUCGAUACACGAGAAAGGUCACCGUUCAUGUGAGAUUUCGAAAAAAAAAAAAAAAAAAAUCCCUAAAGCAGAAUUUACUUAUUAUUGAUGAAAUUUCGCAAUUGCAUUGUUUAUGCUUUCUUCGUCAUUAUUGUCCAUCUCGUAAAGGAAAAUGAGGUAUUGUGAUUUCAUCAAGGUAAAAUUUAUCCUCGAACCACAAAAACAAUUAAACAAAAGCCUUCGCAUAACCACUUAAAAAUAUUCGUAAACGGUUUUGUUAUGAAUUAAAUCUCUUAUGCACCUGACGGUUUCUCUUCCUUUACUAAUUUUUUUUAAUAAUUAAUCUCGCUUUUUAUUGAAUGGUAAGACAUCAACAAUACCCUGAAAUUGCGCGAGCGAAGCUUACGUAUACAAAACGGUGAGGUAAAAGGAAAGGAAGAUUAUAAUGUGUGCAUCCCCAACCACCUCAUUUUUGUAUAUAGCCAAGAAAUAAUACUUUGUAGAAAUAUGUUUUAAAAGUAUUUUACUUUGUUACUCUUGUUGGAGUGUUUGAUUGAUGUAUGUUAAAACUCAGCUGGCGUGCGACAGUGAAGAAGGCGUCAAGAUAUAUUUAGACAGGCUACGUUUAAUUCUCGUUCUCGCACGCCUAAUUUAAUUUUUUUUUACUAUUUAUAUUUCAGGGCUUUUAAUUUUUCGUUACUAUUUACUUUUCGAAAAGACCAUUUAGUAAAUAUCCGGUGAGAAUUUUAUACUCAAAACAAUAAGAAAA